UUGCUUCAUAGCUCGAGUGGUAGAGCGCAGGAAAGUUUCGAGAGAACAAGGUGCCUGAGGUCACUGGUUCGAAUCCAGUUGAAGCAAUCAG
rnacentral:tRNA from 4 species